UACUGCUACGGUCAGGUCACCAGGCUAGAGGGGCUGCUGGAGGAGGUCAACCAGAUGUCGUUCCAGCGGCCGGGCGAGUUGGCGCGGGCGAAGCGCCGCCAUACGUCCAGCACCGCUCGGUGGUGUUAGUGGAGCGGCGUGCGCCGCGGCGGCCAGGAGGGCACCGAGUACAAGUCCCUGCGGGCGCUCCUGCUGUUGUUCUGCUUCCACAUGACGGGGCUCCUACCGGCCCAGAAGGCGUACAGCGACGGCUCGGUCCGCCAGCCGUUCGCCAAGCACCCUCGGGUACUGCCGCCGACCCAGCGGCGCGAACCCGUGCUGUACGUCGAGCGCCAGCACUUGGAGAAGAGGUCACAACUCCACGGCGAGGGGCGGUUCUUGUACAUGUGUGAGACGGAUCCACCGCCGACCUUGCUGUAGGCCUUCUAACACAAAAGUCUUAGGGGGCGGAGUUGGCCGACGUAGGAGCGAUGGUAGUGGGGGGCUGUGGCAGAGCGGAAUACGUCCUAACGAACAGGCUUGUUGUUCACCUGCCUUCCUCCUGGGCAUAUGCCCGAACACCUGUAGCAUAAGACGUUACCUGUUAAUAAACCGGAGUGGUACAAGCUCCUUAACCAGUCCAAGGUUUAUCCACAACUAGUUCUACCGUUCGGCUACGAGUGGCCGCUUGGGGUGCGUAAUAGUUAGGCUUGUCCGUCGACGGGACGGUCCGUAGGCUUCUUGUAGCAACUAGAUGUGCCGUUCGGUCGGUACCACCACUCCUUGACCAGCAGUAGUACACUUCGGAAAACGCCCGGAAAGAAGUCCCACAAACUCGAACAACUACCUAGCUGCUGCCGUCUCAUGCGGGUGCUCACCCUCCUCCAUUGUACAGAUCCACUGAUACGACAAAAGAACCCCUUUUGCACCAGGUUCCAACACAUGUACAGGUGACAACCCGCGUCACCCGACGUUUCUUUGACGUAGAUGUCAUGGCUACUGUACCGACUACCACUACUCGACGAGGGACGACAAUCUGUUCGGCCCGCGACAACCGGUCUGGGUUUAAUGUGGCCGAUGUUCCUGGGUUGUCCGAAACGACCUCAGCUUCUACCGUUCCAGCUCCAUCCUCGACGUCCCUCAUCCGUCUCAGCGUCUCCGUCCGUCGAUCGUACACCCGUGUAGUUUGUCUUCUACUACGCCAACCGUAACUACCUCGACGUCGGACGUCCGCACGUGGUCGUGAGUAGCCGGGAUUGUUGCGUGUCGUACCACUGUUCCCUGCUCUUGGUCGAGUCGGAACCUAAGGAGUUGCGUGCCGUCCUUCAGUUUUGACUAUGUAUGACCGUAGGUAGGGCCUCAGGAGCCGUACCUCAUCUUGCGGUAAAAUUCAAAGUCUUACGAUAAACCGCAACAAGGAGGUAUCUGUGUGACCUCUUUUAUCUGAGGAGUGGUCCAACCGGGGUCUGAGGAGUUAUGCCUCCUUCGCCAUCCGAUGUCUCCCUCGUUGUCUGGCGCAGCUCGUUGAACACCUUCUUCACACCGAUGUCUCCCUCGUUGUAUGGCCUUAACCCCUUUGUCCAGUAGUUGCAGAAGAAGGAGUAGAGGGACUUUAGUAGACGAACU
rnacentral:rRNA from 1 species